rnacentral:rRNA from 1 species
GGCGACCUUUGGCGGCGCGCCUAACACAUGCAAGUCGAACGAGAGAGAAGGAGCUUGCUUCUUCGAUCGAGUGGCGAACGGGUGAGUAACGCGUGAGGAACCUGCCUCAAAGAGGGGGACAACAGUUGGAAACGACUGCUAAUACCGCAUAAGCCCGCGGGUCGGCAUCGAUCUGAGGGAAAAGGAGUGAUCCGCUUUGAGAUGGCCUCGCGUCCGAUUAGCUGGUUGGUGAGGUAAUGGCCCACCAAGGCGACGAUCGGUAGCCGGACUGAGAGGUUGAACGGCCACAUUGGGACUGAGACACGGCCCAGACUCCUACGGGAGGCAGCAGUGGGGAAUAUUGCACAAUGGGGGAAACCCUGAUGCAGCGACGCCGCGUGGAGGAAGAAGGUCUUCGGAUUGUAAACUCCUGUUGUUGAGGAAGAUAAUGACGGUACUCAACAAGGAAGUGACGGCUAACUACGUGCCAGCAGCCGCGGUAAAACGUAGGUCACAAGCGUUGUCCGGAAUUACUGGGUGUAAAGGGAGCGCAGGCGGGAAGACAAGUUGGAAGUGAAAUCUAUGGGCUCAACCCAUAAACUGCUUUCAAAACUGUUUUUCUUGAGUAGUGCAGAGGUAGGCGGAAUUCCCGGUGUAGCGGUGGAAUGCGUAGAUAUCGGGAGGAACACCAGUGGCGAAGGCGGCCUACUGGGCACCAACUGACGCUGAGGCUCGAAAGUGUGGGUAGCAAACAGGAUUAGAUACCCUGGUAGUCCACACCGUAAACGAUGAUUA